rnacentral:rRNA from 1 species
UAGGGAAUCUUCGGCAAUGGACGAAAGUCUGACCGAGCAACGCCGCGUGAGUGAAGAAGGUUUUCGGAUCGUAAAACUCUGUUGUUAGAGAAGAACAAGGACGUUAGUAACUGAACGUCCCCUGACGGUAUCUAACCAGAAAGCCACGGCUAACUACGUGCCAGCAGCCGCGGUAAUACGUAGGUGGCAAGCGUUGUCCGGAUUUAUUGGGCGUAAAGCGAGCGCAGGCGGUUUCUUAAGUCUGAUGUGAAAGCCCCCGGCUCAACCGGGGAGGGUCAUUGGAAACUGGGAGACUUGAGUGCAGAAGAGGAGAGUGAAAUUCCAUGUGUAGCGGUGAAAUGCGUAGAUAUAUGGAGGAACACCAGUGGCGAAGGCGGCUCUCUGGUCUGUAACUGACGCUGAGGCUCAAAAGCGUGGGGAGCAAACAGG